rnacentral:rRNA from 1 species
AUGGUUUCUCCUGCUUCUACCCGGUCUGGACGUCACCGUCGAGGUCUUCCUCCUGGGAUUCGGGCGGCCGUUAUUGCACGUGUGGGCCGUGCCAGCAUGCAUCUUCCUCCUAUGGAUUGUUCAUCGGUGACGGCGGACGCUGCUGUGCGUGGUGGCCAGCGUAUCGACUCGGAUCAGUUUCUUAAUGGAGAUCUUAAUGGCCGCCGUCGAAAGAUUUCGUUAGGGAAGCCGCCUGUUGAUUGCACUGUUGGUUUGAUCAUUACUGCUGGUUCUUCUUCCGCGUUUGAUGGCCUUGUGUCUGCUGCUCGGCCCGCCAUUGCACGAACCGCUGUUCAGGCAUAUGAGCUUCGUGGUGCGUCCAAUACUUUCUUGCAGCUUCAUCGAUCGUGCAGAUGGUUGACAGGUCAAUUGGUCAUCCUUCUGCUCUUCCUACUGGUAUCCAUCUUGACUGUUAUUUAUGUUAGAAAUAGUUUAAACCUGCUAUUGUAA